GCAGUCGCCGCGGUAAUACAGAGGGUGCGAGCGUUAAUCGGAUUUACUGGGCGUAAAGCGUGCGUAGGCGGCUUUUUAAGUCGGAUGUGAAAUCCCUGAGCUUAACUUAGGAAUUGCAUUCGAUACUGGGAAGCUAGAGUAUGGGAGAGGAUGGUAGAAUUCCAGGUGUAGCGGUGAAAUGCGUAGAGAUCUGGAGGAAUACCGAUGGCGAAGGCAGCCAUCUGGCCUAAUACUGACGCUGAGGUACGAAAGCAUGGGGAGCAAACAGGAUUAGAUACCCGGGUAGUCCCUGUCUCUUAUAC
rnacentral:rRNA from 1 species